CACUGCUGAGGAGUCCCAUAAUAGGACGAAACGGCCGUCCAGCGG
rnacentral:hammerhead_ribozyme from 1 species